CUGAGGAAUAACACAACAAUCUGCACAACCUGAACCACGGAACUCAGCAGCACCAAGGCCUUUGAGACUGCUGCGAAGCACCCUUUCUGCGAAAGCCAAGCCUCCUUAAAAUGUCAUCCUUCCUCACAAUAACCUUCAAGGUCCACUGCCAUGCUUCAGAGACAGCAAAGUACCCCCUGGAAAGAUCCAUGUGGAGAAGAACUGAGGUCUUCUGUCAACAACCGGUACCAACUUUCUACUCAUGUGGGUUGUCAUCACCUUGUGAAGAAACUAUCCUCCUGAGGACUAGAGAGAACAUAGAGAGAGAGAGAGUUGCAGCCAUCCCAGCAUUCUGAGAUGAGACCCCCCAAUACAUGAAUGACGCCAUUCUGUACUAGCCAAUCCCCAGCCAACCCAUUUGAUUACUACAGCCACCUAAGUGACCUCAGGCCGGACCAGCAGAAGAACCACCCAUCUGAGCUCCAAAUUACAGAAUCAUAAGCAAAUAAAUUGUUGUUUUUUAAAGAUA